rnacentral:rRNA from 1 species
GUUUCCUACGGGACGCAGCAGUGGGGAAUAUUGCACAAUGGAGGGAACUCUGAUGCAGCGACGCCGCGUGAGUGAAGAAGUAAUUCGUUAUGUAAAGCUCUAUCAGCAGGGAAGAAAGUGACGGUACCUCCAAAGGAAGCGCCGGCUAACUCCGUGCCAGCAGCCGCGGUAAUACGGAGGGCGCGAGCGUUAAUCGGAAUUACUGGGCGUAAAGCGCGCGUAGGCUGUUGUGUAAGUUGGGGGUGAAAUCCCACGGCUCAACCGUGGAACAGCCCUCAAUACUGCGCG